rnacentral:rRNA from 1 species
AUUGAACGCUGGCGGCAUGCCUUACACAUGCAAGUCGAACGGUAACAGGUCUUCGGACGCUGACGAGUGGCGAACGGGUGAGUAAUACAUCGGAACGUGCCCGAUCGUGGGGGAUAACGAGGCGAAAGCUUUGCUAAUACCGCAUACGAUCUACGGAUGAAAGCGGGGGAUCUUCGGACCUCGCGCGGACGGAGCGGCCGAUGGCAGAUUAGGUAGUUGGUGGGAUAAAAGCUUACCAAGCCGACGAUCUGUAGCUGGUCUGAGAGGAUGAUCAGCCACACUGGGACUGAGACACGGCCCAGACUCCUACGGGAGGCAGCAGUGGGGAAUUUUGGACAAUGGGCGAAAGCCUGAUCCAGCCAUGCCGCGUGCAGGAUGAAGGCCUUCGGGUUGUAAACUGCUUUUGUACGGAACGAAAAGCCUCUUUCUAAUAAAGAGGGGUCAUGACGGUACCGUAAGAAUAAGCACCGGCUAACUACGUGC